ensembl:lncRNA
CAGCAUAUGGAAGUUCCCAGGCUAGGGGUCUAAUCGAAGCUGUUGCUGCCAGGCUACACCACAGCCACAGCAAUGGGGAAUCCAAGCCAUGUCUGCAACCUACAACACAGCUCACGGCAACACCAGAUCCUUAAUCCACUGAGCAAGGCCAGGGAUAGAACCUGCAACCUCAUGGUUCCUAGUCGGAUUUGUUAACCACUGAGCCAUGAGGGGAAAGCCAAAAGUACAUUUUUAAAUGGAUAUUAGAACAAGAAAGGACUUUACUAAGUCAAGGGACAUUGGCUGAACAGAACUAGACUGAAUAUACCUGCUUCAUGACUUGAAAUGCAUCUUUUUCCUUAAAUGAUGUGUUCCUUAAAGGAAGAUCCAAAUCUUACCCACUGUUGAAUUCCCAGCUCUUAGUAGAUUCAAUUAACGUUUUUUAAAUUGAAUUUUGAAGUAGUAUUUUUUUCUUUUGGCUACUUUAUAACUAAAGUUUACAAAUAUUCAGAAGAGUGUAAGAUAUGUAAAAUGGGUCUCUGUAAUUCACAUGCACAUAGAGAGGGAUGGUGGGUGCUUAUUUGUCUUAUGUACCUGUUUGUAUCAAGAGGAAUACAGAAUUUUAUAACAAGUGGUUUAACAAAAUUUAUACAAUUGAAAUAGCAAGAGGUUAUUUUUGAGUUAUGUUAAUUACACUGGCUAAUUAAUUGCCUGUGAUUUAAAAACAAAACAAAACAAAACAAAGCAGGUAAUUAAAAGGGAGUUUCUGUAGUGGCUCAGUGGUUAACAAAUCUGACUAGCAUCCAUGAGGAUGCAGGUUCAAUCCCUGGCCUUGCUCAGUCGGGUAAAGAUCAAGCGUUGCCAUGAGUUGUGGUGUAGGUCGCAGAUACGGCUCAGAUCCUGUGUUGCUUUGGCUAGGCCAGCAGCUACAGGUCCAAUUGAACCCCUAGCCUGGGAACUCCAUAUUGAUGCAGAGGGCGAGGGGCUCAAAAGCCAAAAAAAAAAAAGAAAAAGAAAAAGUAGUUAAAAGGAGGCAAGAACCAAGAACCAAGAGCCAAGAGCUAUUCUAUGCCUUCUACUCAUGUUUUGUCAGUAGCAAAUUGUCAAUAAGUAUUUAGACACUGACAGGCCUUUGAGAUGAUCUAAAUUACCAGGCUGAUUUCCUAAAACACCUAGAUAUUAGGAUAGUUUGUGUUUCCAGGAAUAUUUAUAUACUCUAUCCAGUUCUUUCUCAAACAUUUGUUAUUCAGCAUAUGGAUGUCAAAAUUAGGUAUAUUUGUCGAAUAUUUUUCUUGAGUAACUUGGAAAUAAGGGGAGCAGUUUUGGAGAUUUUCUUUGUACAUUAUAAAAAUAGCAUAGUUAUUGCUACUGGGCUAUGCCUUCUGACAUGCCUUUAUUAAAUACCUUCUCUUAUGUUAGUUCUAAAUUUACACAAACCUUUGCACUUUUCAGAAAGACAAUUUCCCCUGUAAAUAUAAUCCCUGUGAUUUUAAUAGUGACAGAAAGGGAAAGAAAAAUCCAUCAAGUUCACAUUAUCAAUUUGUUAGAAAGUGGCACAAAAAGUCACAUCCAGAAUAAGCUGUAUUUCAUUCAGGAUUUAGAAAGAAUGAGUGUUUGCAUCAUCAUUGCCACUACUAUCAUUUUCCAGGCUUCUAUUGGCUACACAGAACUGAAAGCACUCUUAUUUUUUUCAGUUCUUUCUUCAAAUUCAUGACUUUGUUCAGAUAUGCUUGGAGUAAGACAUUUUUACCACUAGGACUGACUGCUUGAUCCAAACAUCUUCACUAAUUUGGAUUUCUCUGGUAUUGUGGAAUCUUCACCACCUCUUUAAAGGGAACACUCUCUAAAAGGAAAAAUACUCAAAAUUGAUUGAAUAAGGAAGUUCCUGUUGUGGCUCAGUGGUAAUGAGCCCAACUAGUAUCCAUGAGGACACAGGUUCGAUCCCUGGCCUUGCUCAGUGGGUUAAGGAUCCGGCAUUGCCAUGAGCUGUGGUGUAGGACACAGACAUGGCUGAUCUGGCAAUGCGUAGGCUGGCAACUGUAUCUCUGAUUUGAUCCCUAGCCUGGGAACUUCCAUAUGCCACACUUGCAGUCCUAUAAAGCAAAAAANACUAACUAGAAAUACCUAGUUAACAGUUAAAGAUUAAGUUUGAAACACAGAUUCUGUAAGCAUUUCCAGAUUGGUCCAAAAUUCAGUUGACAAAGAGUUCUGUCUCGUGGGAUGAAAAAUAAUAAAGGAAGUCACUGAUCUCUAGUGAAGUUAUGACCGCACACACGCACUUCACUCUGGAUGUUAAAUCUUUGCCAAAUGUUCAUUUUCAGUUAUUUUUUUUGGUUUUUAAAGGAUGAGAUAGUGCUGGAGGAAAAGCUGUUUUCUAGUUGUGUGGCACUGUGAAAGCCACUUAAAAACUCUAGAGGUCACUUCACUAGAAAAAUCAGUGUUGAUUGCCAAUGUCAUUUUCAAUAUUAAUGUUCUAUGAUUCCACCAAACCAGAGUCAGCAUAAUAAAAAUUAUAUUCUACUAUAAUAUAGGGUUAAGAAAACACUGGAAAUACAUAAUACAUUCUCAGUAAUCUUAUGUUUAAUAAAGGGCCUUCUUUUACUUUAUUUUGAAAAUAGCAAGCCAAUAAGUAAAGGAAUAAGUGACAUUUUAAAGUUUAGCAGAAUAUGGUUGUCAGAAUUCUGUUUAAUUACAUAGUUACAGUUUAUCACAUAACAAAAAAUGUAAGGAAAU